GCCGUAGACGUGUAGAAGGUUUUUUUUUUUUUUGCUAGUCUCAGUGCACUUGCAGAACACAAUAGCCAUUGUUAGCUCCUCGCUGUUGCGUGUGGAGCAGACAGAAGCUCUCGGGGCAGUGUGUGCUCUGUCCCCCAGCCGUCACUCAGGGGACCCCUUUCCUGUGGUUUCACAACAGCGAGGGAGGCUGGAGCUGGACGGAAGCUUCCAAGGAGAGAUCAGCAAAACUGAGCUUUGGUGAGACCCUCUGCCCUGGUGGAAUGAGCAUGAGGCUUGGCAAAAGUCUGCCCUGAUGGCCGGUGUCUGGUUGGACAUGGCUGCAGUGGGCUGUGCGUUGUGGACAGCAUCAGUGUGCGGUGUGGACGGUCUUGGUGUUGUGUGGCCCUGCUUUGGAGAACUUCCCAUGAUGUGGAUCUGCUCUGUCCAAGAUGGGAGGCGGACACUCGCUUUCCCAGUGUGCCUUGCUGCUAGGUGCAGUCACGUGAGUUGGGCUUCACCAUUAAGAUGUGAGCACGGGGGAGAUUCUGAUGUGGAGGCACAGGAGGGAGCAGCUGGGGUGCAAGGGGUGUUUCUGGUGAUGGUGGUGGUGGAGGCGCCUGCGUCUGGGGGACAGCUGAUGGGGCAGUGGCUGCCCUUGAACAGCGCCUGAUGUUGAACGGACCUGCAGGGUCUGUGUCCAGGAGCAGUGGAAGCUCUGCUGGGGCAGUUCUCCAGUGUGGCUUGGAGUCGUCCAGUGCUGCUCAGCCACCCUGGACGUCUCGACCUGCCAAGUGUCCUCCCCUACGCUCUGCUGUUUCCAAAUGAUGCUCAGUCCAGCGUGGAUGGGAGUUCUUUCGUCACUGGGUAAGGACCCAGUGAGAAGACAUUCAGGAAGAGGGCCCUCACCAGAAACCAACCCUGCAUGGACCUGGACCUGGACCUGGACCUUGACCUUGACCUUGACCUUUCCAUCUGCAGAACUGGGAGCAGAUCAGAGCCCGUGGUCUGUGACGGCUGCCUGAGCUGCCUGAGACGGCGUCUCGUGUUUGCGCGCAGUCAGAGUAGAUACCCAGGCUCCUGCGGUGCUGCGCGGGCUGGGCUGCCCCUCCCGAAGCGGCGAGCUGCUCACUGCGGUCCGUGGUUGUCUCAGCCGGCAGCUCAGACCCAGCAUCGCAGGGUCUAGAAUUCCGCCUUCGUCCUUUGGGGUUAUGGUGGUUCUGUUUGGGGCAUCAUUUCCCUUUAUUUGUAAACUUGGAGUCGAAAAGUGAGCUCUUUCGUUAGUUAGCUCUAAGACAUCACAAAUGGGUGGACAGCAAAAUAAUCCCUCGCUGUCACUGUGAGUCCUACAAUCUCAUUUCCUUCCCCAGAAUCAAGGGUGGUUUGUGUGCUUUGUGCAUUUUUUCUCUUGUAUUAUAUAGCAGCGUUCAAGGGGACAUCGGGAAGUUUGGAAGAUAGGAAUUAAAUCUAAGUGCAAAGGGCCGGCGCUGUGGCGGAGCAGGUAAAGCCGCUGCCUGCAGUGCUGGCAUCCCCUAUGAUCGCCGGUUCAGGUCCCGGCUGCUCCACUUCCAUUCCAGCUCCCUUCUGAUUCACCUGGAAAGAGCAGGGGGAGAUGGCCAGGUGCUUGGGCCCCUGCACCCACGUGGGCGACCCAGAGGAAGCUCCUGGCUUCAGCCUGGCCCAGCUCCACCCACUGGGGCCAUGUGGGGAGUGAAGCAGUGGAUGGAAGACCUCUCUGUCUCUCCUUCCUCUCCCUCUCUAACUCUGCUUUUCAAAUAAAUAAAAUAAAUGUAAAAAAUAUAAGCACAAAAACAUUGAGACGCAUGCAGUGUUUUCAUAGUAUGCAUUUCACAUGACCUUUAUGGAGCCCCUUCUUUGCUUGGAUUUCAAUAUUUUUUGCACUAAAACAGACGCGUCUGUUAAUCUCAUUGCCACCACCUUUGUGACACCUGUCGCGUAGCAGCCCCCCCUUUCCUAACACACACACACACACACACACACACACGUGCGUGCUGAGUCACUCUGCGGAGUCGCUCUUCCUGAUGCUGUUUAGAAGUGCAGGGGUGUGCAGGAACCCCCCGGUGAUGGACACACUCCGUCUCCAGUGUGUCGCACGGCUGCUCCUCCCCUGUCAGUCUAGCAGGUGCCAGGGGUCAAAAGAAGCUUGAAGGUGAAUGGGAACGGAGUCGGGCAGGAAACUCAGCCUCCUCCCAAGCCUUGGCCAAAACGCCCCGCGGGGAUGCUGGGGAAAUUCUAUGGAGACAGCACUGUUCUGUCUCCUCACAGGCACCCAACAUCCCUUUUCUGAUCUUUUGUGUCUCACCUUACACAUCACUUCCUCCAGGAAGCCUUCCCUGACUGCUUUUUCUAAAACACUGUCUCUCAGAGCUCUUGACCUUCAGUUUCUGUUAGAGAAACUAGAGUGACUUCUUCUUAUCUUUUGAAUGGGGCUGUCCCCUUUCCUCGCCAUCAGAGACCUCGGUGUUUGCUGGGUGGAUCCCGAGGCCCAGGAAGUUGGUGACUGGCUCUCGCAUGUUUUGCAUCUCCAGUGCCUGGCCCUGGACCUCCAUCACCAGCUGUGGACGGUGCAGGAGGAUGCAGCCGGGCUGGGGAAGAAGCUUCGGGAUGCCCGGCGUGUGACCCUUCCCAGGUCCAGGGCUGUCCCCCUGGAGCACACCUCCCACGUGGGCCGCUGGGGAAGCUGAGGGGUGCACGCUGUGCCCUCGUCUCUCUCCGCGACCUUAUCUGAGCGCCUUGUCGCCGUGGCCGAUGUGACACCUGACUCAGCCUUUGCUUGGGAUCCCAAGGGUGCGAGGGAGGAACGGUCAAUCCCCCGAGGACGGCCCUGCCGCUCCUGCGGCUGCUCACCCUGGCGGGGUCUGCUUGCAGAGCGCGGCCCCCUGUGGUCCCGGGAGGGGGACGUUUCCUGGUUUCUCGGGUGCUUUUCAGGGGGCGAGGAGGGUCUUCUCGGGGCUUCCCUCUGCUCCUUUUCUGGAAAGUGCUCCGAGCCCAGUCCUGGGAGAGGGGGCUCCUGUGGGCACGGCGCCCUCCUGUCUCACGGCCUGUCCCAGCCAUGUUGCUGCUUUUCCUCUCUCCUCGUCAUGCUCUCUUUCCAAUACUGGGAAAGUAUUCUUUGCGAAUUUCUCCGUGUCGUAUCACUCCUAGCCGCCUUCGCAUUCUGUGAAACCCUGAAAUUACCGGAGAGGGAUUUGGAACCUGCGUGAACCGUGACAAAUCAAAUACCUUCGAAGGCUCGAACGUGAGAUGGGUGAGAGAGAUGGGGUCCACCUUGCAGAAAUGACAUUUUGUCGACUACGUUUUAACAGCAGGCUUUUUGCGAAGCUUCCGCCGCAGAGAGGUUUUCUCGUAACCUUCUGGUCUCUUCCACAGCCUUUCUGUCUUGUGAUUCGGGUAACUGAGCGUCACCUCCCCAGCGCUGGGGACAGAGCCAUCACCAUCCUUAAUGUGUGGCCUCUGAGAGAGAGGGAGACACAUCGCAGAAUACGUAUUUAAUUCUCUUCUUGUCUUCAAUUCUGCGGGAAUAAACAAAUGGAGUGAAGCAAUUUCUGCACUGCUAUGAUAUUAUAUGAUCCUAAAUUAUUCCCAUCCGCACUGUUGGGAGGAGAGACUAUAUUAUGUUAAUUCAUUAAGAUGUUUAUAGUUGGGAGUCUGUCCUCGCAGGAAAUGAAGCAAUUCAGAAAUUACAAAAUCCGAGGCAAAUAAGGCAGCAGCGAUGACAUCAGAGCGCUCCCAUCUUGGUCCCUGUUCCGAGAGCCUCUGGCCGUGGACACGGUCGCUCCAGCAACCCGGGACUGGCCCCUGCCUGGAAUGGGAGCACGUUCGGCUGUCUGUCUUACACGUGAACUUCUUAAGACAGCUGGGCUCUGAAGGCUGCCAGGGCUUCAGCAGGCAGGCAGCAGCAGGGGCAUGGGGUGCUCAGGGCUCUGACCCCCACCUGCCCCAAACACACGGGAACCUUGUGCUGCGGUCAGGGGGCCAGGAUUCCCUGUAAGGAGGAAGGAGUUGGGGGCAGAGGGGGAUCUAGAAGGUUCCUGGGGCAGCCCUGCCCCUCCCAACCUCACCUGUGGUCUCCGCAGCCCCUCUGGCACAUUCGGUGUCCGUGGUGAUGGGGCCUGGCAGCCCAUGACCGGGACCCCGGAUUCCCUUGUGGCUGGGUCUUUUCCCUAGUGGCAGGUGGCACGUCUUCUGCAGUGGGCACAAAGGCAGCGUCAUCUCAUCUCUUCUUGCGUUGACGAGGGGACAAUCUUGUCUGCAUUUUAGAAUCCUUACGUCUCCAACAGACGUGGGUAAGGCAGGGCGCGAGGCCAGGGGUCCUGAACACUGGCAGAGAGACGGAGUGUGCGAGUCCCGGGGUGGCACCCCUGUGGCUGCCACGGGAGUGAGGGAGCGAGGCCACGUGCGCUGCACCCAGCUGCCUGCUCUCGUCCUCGGCGCCUGAUGAAUUGGAGUGUGUCUUGCUGUUUUUCUGCGAGUCACGUCCUGUUUUAAUGAGGACAUUCCUUGUGCCCCCCACUGCUCCUGCGUAAGCCGGUCCCCUCCCUGCUCUUCCUGGCCAGGAUCCAGUUGCUGGGGGCGGCUCCUCCAUGUUGUGGGCUCCGGCUGGGGGUUUGCUUGCAUAGUGGAGACCAUCACUCCCCAUCCUCUCUCCCACAGUCACAGGCUCCCCAGUUGUGCCAGUCAGGCACCUGCACCAGCCGGGCAGCUGGAUGCAUUUGGACUCAUUGCAAAUCCAUGUGCUUUCGGUCUGCACCGCGCUAGCCCCUGACUCAGAGAAGUGACUCGCGUGGCAUCUCGCUGGUGGUUAGCUAAGGACAGAGAGCUGUGCCGCCACCUGGGGGUGUGCACAUCACAGUGGCGAGAUGGACAGAAGCCAUUCGAUGCUGCAGGGUGGAGCCAGGAGAUGGUCUGUGAGUUAGGACUUCAGAGAGGAGCGAUGUUUCCGCGGAGGGAGCUUGGACAAAGGCCAGAGGCGCCACGGCUCUGGGGACAGUCAUGGCGCAUGGUGGUUUGCACUGAUGAGAGAGCGUCAAGUGGAGACUUGACUACGGUGGCCUGGCCUUGCACUUGGUCUUUCUUUCUGUCUGUCUUUCUGUCUGUCUGUCUUUCUGUCUUUCUGUCUGUCUGUCUGUCUUUCUGUCUGUCUGUCUGUCUUUCUUUCCAGGUGGGGGAGAUGGAGUCGAUCCUGGUUUCAGAAGUGCCUGACUGGGGAAAAUGUGGCAGGGCACCAGAGACAAGGCUGCUGCCGGAACACAGAGAGUGUGUGAAGGUGCACAUGGCCCGCCGUGUCUAUACCGCCUGCUGCCUUUCCCAGCACUGGAUCCAAGGUUCCAGGGUGCGUCGUGUUUACCAUCUUAGAGCACGUGAUCCGCUGUGCUGCUUUGUGGUCACCUUUCAUACUGAAGCGUGGCUCUGCGGGGAUGCAGAUUGCUGUGUGUGUAGUCUCUCCUGUGUCUCAAGUCGCCAAGAACCAAGUCUGGCUUAGAAGAGGGUCCCAGGACAUACCGGAUGAGGGGUGAAUGAAGAAUGGGCAUUUUGCUGGAAAGAAAGCAGCUGGCCUUGGACAGAGUAGACGUGUCAGCUCCUGACCUCUUGGAAGGAGAAGGGUGGCUCUGAGAUCCUCCGCUUCCUUAGCCGAGUGCUGAGAUCUGACUUGGGGCAAGCAGGAGGAAAAUAUCCACGGGGAGUGAGUUCUGCCUGGUGGUGCAGAGUCUGAAUGCUUGUGUGAGAUCCAAGCUCACGUACUUGGCGUAUGGAUCUCGCUCAGCAGAGAGCUCGGGCGAGAAUGAACGUUUCCAUGGACUCCAGCCGUGGGGUUGAUGACGCCUCCUGGGGAGGAGAUGAGGGAGACACCCGGGGACGGGCACCUUUCCAUGUGCGCACCAGAGACGCCAGCUUGUGCCGGGGAAGAUUUUUGGCUGUUCACUUUGGCGUUACUGGGAGGACCUUUCAAGGAUGAAGGAGAAAGGAAGACAUCCCCAGAAAAAUACAAGACCAAGGAGUUCAUCGCCUGCAGGCCCAGCUAUGAGAAAGGCUCAAGAAAUCUUUCUGGCAGGCAGUAGCUCAAAGCUGUCUGAAGAAAUAAAGAGUAGUGGUGAAAGUGACUGCAUUGAAGCCAUCUAUUACAUUCUAGCUGGCGACAGAAAACGCUGAACAAUAAAAGGUAAAGCUGCCGUUAUCAAAGCAAGAAUAAUGGUUUUAAAAUAUGCAUUAUUGACUUCUAUAGUUGACUGAAAUUGGGUAUCCCAGGCAUGAAAUCGCCAAAUGAACAAAGCGUCCUUGACUUUCACUAAAAUUAAAAAGCAGAAAUUCCGACUGCUUUGUGCAUUGUCCCUCCAAUCCAAUAAUACAUCUGCUUUAUUCCUUUUGUUUGAAAAGCUGGAAGAUACCUCAGCUGAGCAUGCAACCCUGAAAUUAUUAUUGUUCACUCCAUAUGUAAUGAUGCAUAAAGUUAAAACACCCUGGGACUGGUGCUGUGGAGAGCAGGGUAAGCCACUGUCUGCAGCACCGGCAUCCCAUAGGGGUGCCGGUUUGAGUCCUGGCUGCUCCUCUUCCAGUCCUGCUCCCUGCUAAUGCACCUUGGAAAGCAGUGGAAGAUGCCUCUAAGUACUUGGGCCCCUGCAUCCACAUAGGAGACACGGUUGAAGCUUUUGGCUUCUGGCUUUGUCCUGGCCCAGCCCUGGCCAUUGCAACCAUUGGGGGGAUGAACCAGCAAAUGGAAGAUCUAUCCCUCUCUCUGUGUAACUCUGCCUUUCAAAUAAACUAAUAAAUCUUUUACAAAGAAACAAGUGGAGACUUGGUUAAGGAUGCUGUUGUGUGUCAAACGGUUAUCAGACUGAAGUCCCGGGCUGCACAGCUGGAUCCCUUUCUUAGAGGGACAGGUUGUAGUGUGUGGUCUUUGUUCACAGUUAGCUACGAAGGCAAGAGUGGUGUGCUCAACUGGUGACAUUCCCUUUCUCCUUUGAAACUAAUGUCAAUAGCUAGCCAACAUUUCUCGGUGCAGGUGUAGUGAAUUCUAUUCACAAUUAUUUUCUACUUUCUUCUCUGUAGCCUUGGUAUGUUUCCUUGCCUCAUCGACAUUGAGGUUGGCCAUGGACAUUUCUUUGGUUGAAGGAAUUCAUUUGAGUGGGAAGCUUUAAGGCACCUGGUUCAGUAUCUCUCCUUCUAGGCCUUCAUCAAGAGUCUGGAAUGUUCCAGGCUGUGGGUUUUUUCUUCACCCUGGGGUCUGGCCUGAGAAGCCACAUGGAGCUGUGCCUUGCAGAGUCAGGACUGAUGGCAGAUGCCUUGGUUCCUGAGUAAGCAAUGCGUGUUUAUUCUGGAAAUCAGAGAUGUUGGCCUGUUUGUUUCUUGGCAAACGCUGAUGAUCACCGGCAGAGGAAGACUUCUCUUCUCCUUGCCAGUAUUGCAGUGUUUACAGAACACAGUGCCUGAGAGGUGGGCUCACUCAGAGAGGUGAGUCCUUGGCCACAGGGCGUGGGGACUUCCUUUCAUUCGGGCAUCCCAGCAUUUAGCCCAGGGUAAGACCAAUGAAUGCUUGAUGAAUAACCAGUUAUCUUCUGCUGCACGUUGCAUUUCCUGCCCCUCAUAGGGACUGCUUUAACUCCCCAUGGAUUCUCCUCAGGGUCUCUCUUGAUCUUUAUAUUCUGUAACAUUUUUCAAAAGAUUUAUUUUAUUUAUUUGAGAGGUCUUGCAUCUGUUGGUUCACUCCCCAAAUGGCUGCAAUGGCUGGAGCUGCACCAGAUGAAGCCAGGAGCCUCUUCCAGGUCUCCCACGUGGGUGCAGGUGCUCAAGGAUUUGGGCCGUCUUCCACUGCUUUCCCAGGUGCAUUAGUAGGGAACAGGACUGGAAGUGGAGCAGCCGGGACUGGAACCGGUGUCCAUAUUGGAUUCUGGUGCUGCAGGCUGUGGGUUAGCCUUCUUUGCAACAACGCUGGUUCCAUUCUAUAACAUCUUAAAGUAGCACUUGUAAAAAAGGAAAGCGUAUACAGAAAUAAUACUAUGAAAAACAGUAGUAGCAUAUAUACAUGCAGUCAUUUGAAGCUGACAGACCCUGGGCUACUGUGUCUCUCAUUUAAAUUUCACAAACAAAACCACGCACUAUUUUUUCUUUGUUUUUGCACGGAAGGCAGACUAAGCUCUAAGGUCUGCAGCUGGUGGAUAGUUAAAUUCAGGGUUCUCAGUUCAGUUCUCUGAUUAGAGAAUUGAAUUCUGAGACCAUUGUCUCUUCAUGUACUGUGCAUCAGUUAAGUGGAAUCGGAAGCCUAAAGGACUUGAUGUUCCAUGUUGUCCUUGGAGCAGCUGCCACGUAUCGACCCGGGGACAGGGUCCAGUUCUAUCACACUGCCCCGGGUUGGCCGGGUCUUGGUGCUGGAGACACAAAACAUCAGACACCUUGUGUUUUUCCUCUUCUCUUGGGUUCACCCAGGCUAGAGAUGAUCUUUGAGGAGAGCUUUUCUCCCUGACAGUUUUUUUGUUUAACUCUGAAAAGUGCACAAGGAUUAAUGAGACAAUUGACUACAAAGCGCUUUGAUCCCUGGGGAGCCAGGAAGUGAUUCAAGUGCCAGAAGUGAUUCCCUUACUGAAGGCAGCCCUGGGCCUUUGAAUAGAAGCCCUCUUGGAAAUACCACACCGAGACUGUGCUGAAAAGUCAAACCAGUUCCAAGCAGCUGAGUGAGGCCGAGAUGUCUCCCCCUGAAAUGAGCUGUGAGAGGCUGGGAAAAGAAUUUCAGAUUGACAGUUUGAGCCAGGAAGGACCCCGACCAUCCAGCCUAUGACCAUUGAUCUGAACAAAUGGGGGAACGUGGCCAGAGUGCAAAGCUGCCAGGUGAAGUGUCCUGCCCCAGGUCCCACGGUGCGCCGGGGUUACCAGAAAGCACGGGGAGCCUGGGUGCCACCCGGAGGUGCUAAGUUGGGUAAGUGGGCAGGAUGUGACCCAGGCCUGAAUGGGUGGCUGGCUCGGAGGAGGCACAGGGCUGAAGGAAGUAGGGUGCACAUGGCUAAUGCUGUGAGUUCCCAACUUUGAAGGUGGAAAUAUAUACGGGGAGCAAGAUUUCGGCACCUAAUUCCAUCAUGUAGGCUCCACGGACCAGGCAGAACCUAGUAUCUAUUGAUACUCUCACAGCCUCUUCUGUCACUCCAACCCUGACUUCCAUCAUUCUGCAAACAAACAUGGUGUCUCACGUGAGGGGAGCCUUGGAACGAGUCCUAAGUUCUUGGCAAAGGAGAACAAGUAAAAUCGAGAACAUUAUUUCCUACACCAAGGAGAUAGGAAGCUAGCAAAAACAAGAUCCAUCAUGGAGACUUAUCUGUGUUCCUAUCACAACUGUCCACACGCAACCAGCCUGCCUUCCUACCAUCAACACGAGCCCUUGCUACUGGGUGGAUCCUGAGAACGCGCAGGGGAGGGAGAAGGGCAUGGUGGCUCAUAGAAGGCAGAGCCUGAUUCUAGCGAAGAGAUGCUCAUAGGAAAUCUAACCGAUGUCUUUAUUGGGCUUCCUGUGCGUUAACUUCAUGCAAGAGUUUGACACGUAGUAGCUUAUUUAAUCCUCACCACUGUCGGAGGUAGUAGUCUCCAUGGCAACAGUCAUCUCUCCUUACAUCUCCUGGCUCUGUUUUCCUCUGUCUCAGCUGGAUUCUUGGGGAACUCUUCAGAGUGGUUGCAUUGAUGAUGUGCAGAGCCUACUGGAGCCCAAAGCAAGAGAACAAGUUAAUCUAAUCCUGAUUGCCUACUGUAAAAUGGUGACAUAUUGUCGAUCGAUCAUGGGGUUUUUUCGUGUUAAUUUUACUUUUCAUUAAGAAUUAAGUAAUUAUGGGUCUUGAAUACUGGUUUUUUUUUUUAUGGGGUGUGGGGUGUGGAGGUUACCCUUAGAUUUUGCACCUGAGCAAAUAAAUGUCUCACUUUAACCAAGUUCCAGCCUUGAAGAACACCUUUAGUUGCAAAAGAGCUUUCUUGGGGGCUGGUGCUGUGGCGUAGCAGGUAAAGCUGCUGUCUGCAAUGCAGGUAUCCCAUAUGGACACCGGUUCGAGUCCCAGCUGUUCCUCUUCCAAUCCAGCUCUCUGCUAUGGCCUGGGAAAGCAGUAGAAGAUGGCUCAAGUCCUUGGGCCCCCUGCAUCUACGUGGGAGACCCAGAAGAAACUUCUGGGUUCGCAUUGGCAACAGUUCCGGCUGUUGUGGCCAACUGGGGAGUGAACUAGUGGAUGGAAGACCUCUCUUUCUGUCUCUGCCUCUCUGUAA